rnacentral:rRNA from 1 species
GACGAACGCUGGCGGCGUGCUUAACACAUGCAAGUCGAACGGAAAGGCCCUGCUUUUGUGGGGUGCUCGAGUGGCGAAAGGGUGAGUAACACGUGAGUAACCUGCCCUUGACUUUGGGAUAACUUCAGGAAACUCGGGCUAAUACCGGAUAGGAGCUCCUGCUGCAUGGUGGGGGUUGGAAAGAUUCGGCGGUUGGGGAUGGACUCGCGGCUCAUCAGCUUGUUGGUGGGGUAGUGGCUUACCAAGGCUUUGACGGGUAGCCGGCCUGAGAGUGUGACCGGCCACAUUGGGACUGAGGUACGGGCCAGACUCCUACGGGAGGCAGCAGUGGGGGAUAUUGCACAAUGGGCGGAAGCCUGAUGCAGCAACGCCGCGUGCGGGAUGACGGCCUUCGGGUUGGAAACCGCGUUCGCCUGUAACGAAGCGUGAGUGACGGUAAUGGGUAAAGAAGCACCGGCUAACUACGUG